rnacentral:rRNA from 1 species
AGCGAACGCUGGCGGCAGGCCUAACACAUGCAAGUCGAACGAACUCUUCGGAGUUAGUGGCGGACGGGUGAGUAACACGUGGGAACGUGCCUUUAGGUUCGGAAUAACUCAGGGAAACUUGUGCUAAUACCGAAUGUGCCCUUCGGGGAAAGAUUUAUCGCCUUUAGAGCGGCCCGCGUCUGAUUAGCUAGUUGGUGAGGUAAAGGCUCACCAAGGCGACGAUCAGUAGCUGGUCUGAGAGGAUGAUCAGCCACAUUGGGACUGAGACACGGCUCAAACUCCUACGGGAGGCAGCAGUGGGGAAUCUUGCGCAAAUGGGCGAAAGCCUGACGCAGCCAUGCCGCGUGAAUGAUGAAGGUCUUAGGAUUGUAAAAUUCUUUCACCGGGACGAUAAUGACGGUACCCGGAGAAGAAGCCCGGCUAACUUCGUGCCAGCAGCCGCGGU